rnacentral:misc_RNA from 1 species
AUAAAAUUAUUUAUAAUACAAAUAUUAUUAUAAUAACUCACGAAAAUAUACCGGGACAACCAAAACAAUACGACUGGGUGACUCUAUGAUAUUACGGAUGGAUUGAUGAUUGGAGACUUGCACACCAAUCCGGUAGUCCUUCGUAUCGUCUAAGUGGUGCGAUUUUGCCUUAUGACCUCGGAGAGGGAUUGACGUGCUACAGAAACCGUACGGUCUUUUAUCAGGAGUACGUGACGAUAAGUGAUAAUAAUACACUGAAGCGGAGCUAUGUUCUCGACGACGGAUCACGCGAAACCUUCAUCACGUUUUUUUUCUAGCCACUAUGUAUCCAGAAAACUUGCUGCCACUGAUAAAACAACAAUUUAUAAGAUAAUUAUAUUCAUAGUUGAAUAGCCAAUAAUUCUAGUGUUCGAUAGAUAAUACAGUCGUGAAUAGUAUUUGAUAUUAAUGAAUUAUCGAAUACCGAAAAUACCAUUUCGAUGAUAGCACGAGGUUCAACUUGUGGAUUCAAACUACAGACUUAAAUACAACACAUAAUUUACGAAGCAACAGUUCAAACACGUUUAACGCGUAAUUUAUUAUAAAUCUUGUGUAUUGUUUAGACAAUAUUUUGCUGAAGGCUCUCUGAGCCGCGAAAAAAAUGAAUAAACUAAAUAUUAGUAAAAUAAAUUAGUAUCUAUAACUUGGAAAAACUCAAAUAGCUGACAAAUAUGCUUGAUUCAAAUUAUAAUCACUGCUUGUCACUAUAUUUAUAAAAUAAUAAAUUCAAAACA